GAUGAACGCUAGCGGCAGGCUUAACACAUGCAAGUCGAGGGGCAGCACGGGUAGCAAUACCUGGUGGCGACCGGCGCAAGGGUGCGUAACGCGUGAGCAACAUGCCCUAUACAGGGGGAUAAUCCAGGGAAACUUGGUCUAAUAUCCCAUAGUAUUUAGAGGAGGCAUCUUCUAUAAAUUAAAGCUUCGGUGGUAUAGGAUUGGCUCGCGUGACAUUAGCUAGAUGGUGAGGUAACGGCUCACCAUGGCAAUGAUGUCUAGGGGUUCUGAGAGGAAGGCCCCCCACACUGGGACUGAGACACGGCCCAGACUCCUACGGGAGGCAGCAGUGAGGAAUAUUGGACAAUGGAUGGAAAUCUGAUCCAGCCAUGCCGCGUGCAGGAAGACAGCCCUAUGGGUUGUAAACUGCUUUUAAUGGGAGCAAUAAGGUCUACGUGUAGACUGAUGAGAGUACCAUAUGAAUAAG
rnacentral:rRNA from 1 species